rnacentral:rRNA from 1 species
GACGAACGCUGGCGGCGUGCCUAAUACAUGCAAGUCGAACGCGUCUUUUUCCACCGGAGCUUGCUCCACCGGAAAGAGAGGAGUGGCGAACGGGUGAGUAACACGUGGGUAACCUGCCCAUCAGAAGGGGAUAACACUUGGAAACAGGUGCUAAUACCGUAUAACAAUCGAAACCGCAUGGUUUUGAUUUGAAAGGCGCUUUCGGGUGUCGCUGAUGGAUGGACCCGCGGUGCAUUAGCUAGUUGGGGAGGUAACGGCUCAACAAGGCCACGAUGCAUAGCCGACCUGAGAGGGUGAUCGGCCACAUUGGUACUGAGACACGGCCCAAACUCCUACGGGAGGCAGCAGUAGGGAAUCUUCGGCAAUGGACGAAAGUCUGACCGAGCAACGCCGCGUGAGUGAAGAAGGUUUUCGGAUCGUAAAACUCUGUUGUUAGAGAAGAACAAGGAUGAGAGUAACUGUUCAUCCCUUGACGGUAUCUAACCAGAAAGCCACGGCUAACUACGUGCCAGCCGCCGCUGUAA